GGGCCGUUAGCUCAGUUGGUAGAGCGCUUCCAUGGCAUGGAAGAGGUCGCUGGUUCGAAUCCAGUACGGUCCACCA
rnacentral:tRNA from 1 species